rnacentral:pre_miRNA from 1 species
GUCUGGGCGCAGUGGUUUAUCGAUCCCUUCCUUGCCUUGUGCUGAUCCGGGGAGCGGUGGUUCAAGUGUGUCGAUCUUGCUGCAGCAGCUUUGUAGACAAAGCGGGAAUCGGUCGAUAAACCUCUGCAUCCAGC